rnacentral:ncRNA from 1 species
ACAGGGAUUGCCGAAAACCUGGGAAAGAGUAGGCG